GAGAAAAGCAGGGGAUCGCAAGACCUUGCGCUUUUGGAGCGGCCGAUGUCUGGUUAGCUAGUUGGUGAGGUAAAGGCUUACCAAGGCGUCGAUCAGUAGCUGGUCUGAGAGGACGACCAGCCACACUGGGACUGAGACACGGCCCAGACUCCUACGGGAGGCAGCAGUGGGGAAUUUUGGACAAUGGGGGAAACCCUGAUCCAGCCAUGCCGCGUGAGUGGAGAAGGCCUUCGGGUUGUAAAGCUCUUUCAGCCGGAACGAAACGGUCACGGCUAAUACCUGUGACCACUGACGGUACCGGAAGAAGAAGCACCGGCUAACUACGUGCCAGCAGCCGCGGUAAUACGUAGGGUGCAAGCGUUAAUCGGAAUUACUGGGCGUAAAGCGUGCGCAGGCGGUUUUGUAAGUCAGAUGUGAAAU
rnacentral:rRNA from 1 species